rnacentral:rRNA from 1 species
UACGUAGGGUGCGAGCGUUUAAUCGGAAUUACUGGGCGUAAAGCGUGCGCAGGCGGUUUUGUAAGCCAGAUGUGAAAGCCCCGGGCUUAACCUGGGAAUGGCAUUUGGGACUGCAAGGCUUGAGUGCGGCAGAGGAGACUGGAAUUCCUGGUGUAGCAGUGAAAUGCGUAGUAUAUCAGGAGGAACACCGGUGGCGAAGGCGGUUCUCUGGGCCUUACCUGACGCUGAGGAGCGAAAGCAUGGGGAGCAACAGG